GCUAAAAACCUAGCCCCACCCAACCCUAUGACCUCAAACCCCUACACCCCAAACAAAAACAUUUACCCUUGUUUAGUAAAGGCGAUUGAAAAACUAAUUAGCGCUAUAACAGUAAUACCGCAAGGAAAAGAUGAAAUAAAAAUGAAACAAAUUUCAAGCACAAAAAAGCAGAGACAUACCCUCGUACCUUUCGCAUCAUGAUUUAACUAGUUUAAUCAAGCGUAAAGAACUUUAAGUUUGACACCCCGAAACUAGACGAGCUACUUCGAGGCAGCCUAACGAGCCCCCCCGUCUCUGUUGCAAAAGAGUGGGAAGACCCCCAAGUAGCGGUGACAGACCUAACGAGUCUAGUGAUAGCUGGUUACUUAAGAAAAGGAUUUAAGUCCUGCCUAAAGCAUAUAAAAUCCACCUAAAUAUUGCCCAUGCUCUAGAGCCACUCAAACGAGGUACAGCCCGUUUGAAAUAGGAUACAACCUACACUACUGGGUAAAUUCUUUUAUCCUGUUAAACAAGUGGGCCUAAAAGCAGCCACCUUUAAAAAAGCGUCAAAGCUUUCUUGUACAACUAACUCAAUUCCACAAUUUUUUAUAAACCCUUUAUUACUAUUAAGUUUCUCUAUACCCCUAUAGAAGCAAUUAUGUUAAAACUAGUAACAAGAAGACAGACCUUCUCUUAAAUGUAAGUGUAAAUCAGAAAGGACAAGCCACUGAUAAUUAAACACUAAUGAACACAAAACAGUAACCUCACUAGAAAACCCUGUUUCUUCUGGUGUUAAUCUGACACUAGCUCAUUUCAAGAAAGAUUUAAAGAAAAAGAAGGAACUCGGCAAACAUUAGCCCCGCCUGUUUACCAAAAACAUCGCCUCUUGAACCUACAUAAGAGGUCCCGCCUGCCCAGUGACCAAGUUCAACGGCCGCGGUAUCCUAACCGUGCGAAGGUAGCGUAAUCACUUGUUCUUUAAAUGAGGACUAGUAUGAAUGGCACCACGAGGGCUAUACUGUCUCCUUUUUCUAAUCAAUGAAACUGAUCCCCCCGUGAAGAAGCGGGGAUGAAUAUAUAAGACGAGAAGACCCUAUGGAGCUUUAAACAAAAUAGCACUGGCCCCCUCUUUUUACCCUCCAGAAACAUAACACCUAUACUGGCCAAAAUGACUAUUAGUUUUAGGUUGGGGUGACCACGGAGCAAAAAUUAACCUCCACAUUGAACGGAAAUACUCCUGAGCUAAAAGCUACGACUUUAAGCACCAAUAAACUGACAUUAAUUGACCCAAUAUUUUGAUCAACGAACCAAGUUACCCUAGGGAUAACAGCGCAAUCCAUUUCAAGAGCUCCUAUCGACAAAUGGGUUUACGACCUCGAUGUUGGAUCAGGGUACCCCAGUGGUGCAGCCGCUACUAAAGGUUCGUUUGUUCAACGAUUAAAACCCU
rnacentral:rRNA from 1 species